rnacentral:rRNA from 1 species
UUUGGUGGUCAUAGCGCGAGCAAAACACCCGGCUCCAUUCCGAACCCGGCCGUUAAGUGCCGCCGCGCCAAUGGUACUGCGUCUCAAGACGUGGGAGAGUAGGUCACCGCCAAACCUAGAAAGAGCCAAACAUAUAACUCUCUUCGAUGACAGGCCAAAAUGGCCAACAAAACAACCG